rnacentral:rRNA from 1 species
GGUCCAGACUCUACGGGAGGCAGCAGUGGGGAAUAUUGCGCAAUGGGGAAACCCUGACGCAGCAAUGCCGAGUGAGUGAGGAAGGCCUUCGGGUUGUAAAGCUCUGUCAGAAGGGAAUAAUGGUAUAGGGUCCAAUAGGCCUUAUAUUUGAAGGUACCUUCAAAGGAAGCACCGGCUAACUUCGUGCCAGCAGCCGCGGUAAUACGAAGGGUGCAAGCGUUGUUCGGAUUUAUUGGGCGUAAAGCGCGCGCAGGCGGAUUGUUAAGUCAGAUGUGAAAUCUCGGGGCUCAACCCCGAAACUGCGUCUGAAACUGAUAAUCUAGAAUCUCGGAGAGGGAAGGGGAAUUUCGCAUGUAGGGGUAAAAUCCGUAGAGAUGCGAAGGAACACCAGAGGCGAAGGCGCCUUCCUGGACGAGUAUUGACGCUGAGGCGCGAAAGCGUGGGUAGCAAACAGGAUUAGAUACCCUGGUAGUCCACGCCGUAAACGAUGUGCACUAGAUUUUGGAGGUUUGACCCCUUCAGAGUCGUAGCUAACGCAUUAAGUGCACCGCCUGGGGAGUACGGUCGCAAGACUAAAACUCAAAGGAAUUGACGGGGGCCC